UACGUAGGGUCCGAGCGUUGUUCGGAUUCAUUGGGCGUAAAGGGUGCGUAGGUGGCGUCGUAAGUCAGGUGUGAAAUCUCGGGGCUCAACCCCGAAACUGCACUUGAUACUGCGAUGCUCGAGUACUGGAGAGGAGAUUGGAAUUUACGGUGUAGCAGUGAAAUGCGUAGAUAUCGUAAGGAAGACCAGUGGCGAAGGCGAAUCUCUGGACAGUUACUGACACUGAGGCACGAAGGCCAGGGGAGCAAACGGG
rnacentral:rRNA from 1 species